rnacentral:rRNA from 1 species
GACGAACGCUGGCGGCGUGCUUAACACAUGCAAGUCGAACGGAAAGGCCCUGCUGUUGUGGGGUGCUCGAGUGGCGAACGGGUGAGUAACACGUGAGUAACCUGCCCUUGACUUUGGGAUAACUUCAGGAAACUGGGGCUAAUACCGGAUAGGAGCUCCUGCUGCAUGGUGGGGGUUGGAAAGUUUCGGCGGUUGGGGAUGGACUCGCGGCUUAUCAGCUUGUUGGUGGGGUAGUGGCUUACCAAGGCUUUGACGGGUAGCCGGCCUGAGAGGGUGUCCGGCCACAUGGGGACUACGAUACCGCCCAGACUCCUACGGGAGGCAGCAGUGGGGAAUAUUGCCCAAUGGGAGGAAGCCUGAUGCAGCAACGCCGCGUGCGGGAUGACGGCCUUCGGGUUGUAAACCGCUUUCGCCUGUGACGAAGCGUGAGUGACGGUAAUGGGUAAAGAAGCACUGUCUAACUACGUG